rnacentral:lncRNA from 1 species
CCGGGCCGGGCUCUGCUCUCACGCCGCGCCCGGGAGACCGGGGCUGGGGGGAAGGGGGGGGCGAAGGGCGGAAGGGGUGGGCGCGGGGAGCGGCCGGCGGGGUCCCGGGCAGGUGCAGCGGCCGCCCCGAGCGCAGCUCCCGCCUGGCCGAGCCUCUCGGCGCCCCGCGUCCCGGGCGGGCAGAUAUCGAGCGCCGCGGAGCCGCCCCCCGCGUCAGCGCCCACAGAUUGGCGGAGCCGCCGCCCCACGAGUCACGGCUGGGCCCGGGCCGGCUGCGCUCCCGCUCUCCUUCCUCCUCCCCUCGGCCGCGCCCCGCGACGCCUCUGAGCUCCGGGCCCGCUAAGGAGAGGGCUCCUCCUGCCCGCGGUUUGCAGAGGGAAGCGGCGGAGACCGGGAGGGCGCGCUCGGUUCUGGCCAGGCCAGCAGCUGCGGCCGAGUGGGGGGCUCCGGCCUGGCCGCUUCCUGGGACCCCCUCCCGCCCGGGGCCGCCGCCGCCAGCUGCAGCCUCUCGGCUCCUCCCCAGAGGAGCGCGGGGCCGGGGCCCAGGCCAAGUCCCUCCCCGGAGCCGCGGGGCGUCUGCGCCGCCGGAUGAGCUCCCCGCCGGGCGGCGACCCCGUGCCCCACGCCCGUCUCGGCAAGGAGGAGGCGGAGGCGGCCCCGCGAGAGAGGCCCAAGGAGCGACUGGGCCUGGACCCAGGGGACGCCAGGGCAGCGGAGCUCCCGGCACCGGUCCCGUCCCCCCCCCCCCGCCCACCCGCGGGACGCGCCCGCCUUAACCCUCCAGGCGCCGGGCCCGCUGGGGGCGCUGAGAGGGGCUGGUGUGCCGGGGGCGCCUUCCUGCUUGGGGCCGACGGGGGUGUGUGAGUGCAGGCGUGUGCGUGUGUGUGCGCAUGUGUGUGUGUGGAUGUGCGUGUGCGUGUGUAUGCCUGUGUGUGUUUGUGUGUGCGUCUGUGUGCAUGUGUGUGUGCACAUGCAUGUGUGUUCACGUGAGUGCAUCUCAUCUGUCACCCACAACCAGGGGAGCGGUGCUUGUACAACCAGCUGGUGGCUUCUGCAACCAGCAGCUUCUGGCCGUGCAGCUCCCUGUAGGGAAUAUGAGUUAAUCUGGAUGUCAGCCUAAGAUGUAGUCAGGGAGGUAAGUGUGUGGGAGGAGGCCACAUCCCCUGUGCCUCAAGCCGGCUGCUUCCACAGUGCCCAGACUGCCUGGGCCAGCAGCCUCGCCAGCAAGCCCAGGCGGGUGGGCCGGGAGCAGGGCCUGGGCCCCCCCUCUUACUUUCACCGGCUGGCUGUGUUACCAGGGCCCUCUCCGCCCUCUCUGAGCCUCAGUUUCCUCUGAUGUGAAUUAAGGGCGUUGAGCCCAUUGUUCCUGAGGAAUCACUCAUCUCUGAGCCUGGCCCAUUGCCUGGCAUUCCGUGGGCACCCACUAGAUACUUAUAAGGGGAGAAGUUGUUCCAGUCCGGCUGGCCAGUGGAAUCCAUGCGUCUUGGGCCAUUUGAAAGUGGUUUUUGGGAGCCCGGCAGCUAUCUGGACCCGUGUGCACCCCUGGACGCCUCCCUCCCUCGCAGAGGGUCCUGGUUCAUCUCGUCUGUUGCCUCUUAGAACAGUGGCCUCUACCUCGCCAGCACAAGCAGUCGAGUUAAGACAGGAGCCUCGUUCAAAGUUCCGCCCGGGGCCAGGCACAGCGCAGGCUCUCAGAGGAGGGCCCAGGAGUCCACAGGCUGCGGCGGCGCGAGACAAAAGUCGGAAGACAGGACCCCGCUGAGGAGUGAGGAGACAGCGGCCAACCCUCCGCCAGACCCUUCCGCCUGGUGCCUUUACUGGGCUCUGAGGAGGAAUUUGGUGGUUCAGUCGGCCCAUCCGUGGACACCAUAAAAACAAAGAGAAAACAGACACACACAGAUGCACACAUAGAUACACACAGAUACACACAGACACGGAUAUAUAGACACACACAGAUACACACACGUGGACACAGACACACACAUAGACACAGAUAUAUAGACACACACAGAUACACACACGUGGACACAAACACACACAGACAUACCCAUAGUUACGGAUAUAUGCAUGGAUACACAAUACACAGACACACAGAUGAUACAUGCAUAGACAGAUAUAUGGACACACACACACGGACACACAGAUACACACAUAGACACAUAGACAGACACAGAUACAGACACAGGCACAUGUAGACACACAUGGACAUACAAUACUCAGAUGAACACAGAGAUAAUAUACACAUAGACACAGAUCUAUAGAUACACAAAGACAUACACACAGAUAUACAUAGAUGCACACAUAGACACAGAUACACAUGUCAUCACACAUGGACACACACAGACACACACCAAUACACACAUAGACAUACGAAGACACAGGUACACAGACACGUAUACACACAGACACGCAUAUAUACAUACAGACGCAGAUAUACACACAGACACAGACAUACACACACACACAGACACAGAUAUACACAGAUACAUGGACAGAUACACAUUCACAUACACACAUAGAUACACAGAAACACACAGACACACAGACACAUAGAGACACACACACAGCCACACAGGCCCUGAGCCUCCCUGGGCCCUCCCUUGUGCAGAGGCGGAGGGGCUGGCUGUCGGGGAGGGCACCUGGAGAGGACACACAGCCCCAUCAGAGACCAGGGAGUGGCUCUGGGAGCUCUUUUCGUCCAAAGGGGCUGGAGCUCCAGUUAGCCAAGGUGAGGGCGUGGAGGAUUCCUGGGGGAAGCUUCGUGCUGCAAGGUGGAAAAGACAGAUAACAAGAGAAAAACAGAAGCUUAAUAGCAUGUAUACCUUGGUCUGCAAGGGACGGACUCGGGACAGGCUAUGUCGCAAAGGCGUGGCUUGGAGCUCAGCCUUAAAGACCAUGUUCGACGGAAACAAAGAGAAAGAGUGUGUGGGGAGGGGCCCAAGAAAUUACCCCAAACUGGGGUCAGGCCUUCUCCAUGGAUGAGCGUCUCCGGUGACUUACAGGCGGCCUUCUGGCCCAGAGAGGGGGCACCCUGGUGAGCGCAGAUGCCUGUACGGAUGUGACUUUCUCUCAUAGAACAGCAGCUUCCACUCUUGUUUUCAGAAUUUCUCCUGUGGUUGCAGUUUCUCAAAAUAAGCAGCUCAAAAUAAUGCUUAUGCCAAAGAGGCAUAUUUUGGGGUGGCAUAUUCUGGUCUGCUCUACGUGGAAGCGGACAGAAAAAUGGGGCAGAGGCCAGGGAGGGGAGCGGGACCGACUUCCAGUUCCCAGACCCGAGCAAGGGAACCUGAGGCCGAGCUCUGGAGCUUGGGGUCUGGAAGGGGUUCUCUGAGGACACUCUGGGAGUGGGGGAACAGCUGCCUCCUCAGGUUUCCCCCAAGGGAUCCUGCCUGGGGAGACCUGGACUGGGCAAGGCUUGGCAGCUGCCCUGCCAGGAGGAGGGAGACGGCUGCAGUGGGGGGGUGCAGGGUCGCUGGGGUCCCACCCGGGGGUGCUGGGACCGGCCAGAGGACACUGCGAUUUCCCAAUGGGCCAGGAAGGAAGGAGGCGCUUUCCAGGCAGAGCAUGACCCCGCACAGGAGGCAGAGACAGAGUCUCUGAGUGUCCCCGUCAGGUCCCUGGGACUGUGGCAGGGGAAGAAGCCGCAGUACCUCCUGCCCUUUAGGACAGGAGAGGUUGUCGUCCCAGCGUUGCCCAGCAGCUGGUUGGAGCCCAGGGCUCCUCAGAUGAGCCAGCGCCUGAGCCCUGAGCUGCCAGCUGGCCUGGCUGGAGCCGCCACUGAUCUUCCCAGGAGAAAGAGGCCGCCGUGCGUAAGUAGCGAGGUAUAAGAGGACGUGUAGAGCCGUGUCGCUCGCGCAAGAAGGGGAAAGAAGGAAGCCUGUCUGCAUGGCUGCGCAGGGGAUAUUGGAACAGAACUGAAGGAACUCAUGCAACGCUUCUCUGUGAAGGGGGCACCGCGAUGUAUGGACAAGGGUGGGAAAGGGAUGCUGGGCCAUAAAGUUUGGGGUGCGUGAUGGUGUGGAGGAGAAAGCCCUCCUGGGAGCUGUGGCCAGGGAGUGUGCAGUCCACGAGCAGAUGGAGCUUUAUGUGCCUCCCACCUCCUCCCAGGGGCCCCCCACGACUCGCUGAGGCCCCAUCAGCAACAGGAUGACGGGUUUUCUUUCCCACACAGAUCGGGGACGUCCCAGCCUCCUGAGGUGGGGCAGAGGCGGGCACCGCAGCCCAAGAGCUGGCUUUCCCCCUGCACCUCCACCCAUGCGUUGGCCUGGAGUGGCCCAGCGGAGGGUCCAGGUGGGGGUGCUGGAGGGGCCCACCCAGCUCAGGCCUGGCACCUGCACCUUUCUGGAUCCCACGAUGUUUUGCUGAGGGUUACUCAUCCAAGACCUGCCCGGAGGCUCCGAGCUGUUUACCACAGGCCAGCUCUGGCCGUAGCCUAUUCUGGGAGCCUGGGGGUGCUGGGAGGAGGCUGGGGCUCUGGGUGGCAGGAGGAGGAGAGCCGUCUUGUCCUUACUGAGCGUCCAGCGGGCGCCAGAUGCUGCGCCGCGUGCAAUUCUAAUCCUGGCCGGCAAAGCCAGAACGGGACAAUAUUCCUUCCUCCCCAGGCCUCCCGCUUGGCUGUGGGUGCUGACGGGCAAUGGGCCUGGCUAUCGGGGCUCACAGGGGAGCCGGGAGAGCCGCUAGCAGGAGAAAAUGUGAGCUCUGCAUCUGCUGGGCUGGGUUCGGGGGACGCGGGGUGGCUGGGGAGGGUCGUGCUCGUCCCUCCGGCUGCUGUCGCUGGCCCGCCGGCCAGUCCGCCCCAACGCUGGACUCCUGGGCUAUCCGUUCCCCACCCACCGUCUGAGGGUCUUUGAAAAUAGAACUCAUUCGUUUUCAUUAAAAGCAACCGAUCAAGAAGCCGAAAACACAAGAAUAAAACAAUGUAAAAGCUUGACUUUAUUUUGUAUCCGUCAAACACAGGACUCACAGUCCGUUACACAUGGAGCAUUCGCAACACUGAUCAUGUUCUGAUGGUCACACAAUGUCGGGAAAUUCCAAAAGGCAGAUAAUCUAGAGUCUGUUCACGGCAUCCACACACACACACCGGUGCACAGGCACACGAGCACACAGUCUACAGAUUGUUCGUAGACACAGUGUGGUAUAAUGAACAAAAGCUGGCUUUAAAAAUAGUUCUACCUGGGCCCGGUGCGGUGGCUCACGCCUGUAAUCCCAGCGCUUUGGGAGGCCGAGGCGGGUGGAUCACCAGAGGUCAGGAGUUCGAGACCAG